UUUAUUCUUGAGGUCUCUUUCAGUUAUAAGUAGUAGUGCCGCAGGUAACCACUCAAAUAUAUGGUUUACCUACUGCCUUCUGCUUAGAAUUGAAAUAUCGAUGACCGUACU
rnacentral:pre_miRNA from 14 species